GGAAUGUCGCGCAGGACAGAGCAGGACACGGGGCUUCGGUUCGCCCACUGCUCUGAAGCAGCGGGCAAAAGAAAACUGGAGGAGGCGACCUGAAUGUGGUCAGGUGAGCUCAAUCAGAGCCAUUUGUCAAGAAAAAGUCAAGGCUGACGUCUAAGAGUGACUUAUCGUCGUGUAAGGAUUGGCUGUUGCACAAUAGGAAAAGAAGCGGGG